UACGAAGGGGGCUAGCGUUGCUCGGAAUCACUGGGCGUAAAGGGUGCGUAGGCGGGUUUUUAAGUCAGGGUGAAAUCCUGGAGCUCAACUCCAGAACUGCCUUCGAUACUGGCGAUCUCGAGUUCGGGAGAGGUGAGUGGAACUGCGAGUGUAGAGGUGAAAUUCGUAGAUAUUCGCAAGAACACCAGUGGCGAAGGCGGCUCACUGGCCCGAUACUGACGCUGAGGUGCGAAAGCGUGGGGAGCAAACAGG
rnacentral:rRNA from 1 species